GCGGUAAUGCCGAAUAUAAACAUCAAUCAAGGACCACUGUUCCUGUGGCUCCGUUCCUACGGAGAUUCGAAAGAGUACUUAACUAUUGGAGUUCAUGUAGAAACGAUGGAACGCACGAUCGAACAGGAUAACCGCGUCCUGUGUGCAAAAUGAAUCGUAGUCUGUGUCUUUGUGACUAUUUGGGGCUGAAACAAUCUGAAUGGCAAUUACUCGUUGUUUACGAAGAACAUGGAGGUGUGUUACAGCCAAUAUUUGGAGAUUAUUCCAGAUGUUUAAUCAGCUGUAACCUAAUUUUAAUAAAGCACUCGAGCAUGUACUGUAUAAGUCGUUGUAAUUCAAAACUCUCGUCAGUUGCUUAACACUGUCCAGUUGACUGUUCAGUCUGUUCUUGCUUGGUAAAUCUAAAUUUUUCUUAAAGAUGGUUUCAACAACAUUCAUUCUCCUAGUUCUCGUUGCUGUUGGCGCGAACGGCUGGUUGUUCCCCAAACCAG